UCAGAUCGAACCCUCUUGAAAUCCAACAGCGUCGAGAACAUGGCGAUGAACAGCACGAGAUGGUUCAAUGCGUAACGCUGACCCACACACUGGUGAGGACCCCAUCCGAACGCUAGGAAAUUGCGUUUAAACACCUGAUCUUCUUUCCUGGUCUGGCUAAACCGAUCCGGAUCGAACCGGUCCGGUUCAGUAAACCCUUGGAACGAGGAGUCGAAAAUCGAUGGAAAGACAAUUGUACCUUUUGGGAUAGUGUACGAGGUGGUAAUAGAGCCGUGCUUAGAGGCUUUUGAAAAAGACAUUUGCCUAAAGCCUCUAAAUUUUGUAAAAAUUUUAAGACUUUAUAAAUUAAAAAAAAGGAUACUUUUACAUGAUAGUUAGCAUAGGGUCCGAUUGGUAAUGGCUGUAGCUUUAAAUAUUUUGCUGUAGAAAAAAAUCUGUAGACUUUUUGCUGUGGCUUUAGAUUUUAUUGCUGUAGAAUUUUAUUGAAGCACUAAAAAAUUGCUUUGGAUAUUUGGCUCUGCAGAGCACUUGUACAGCUGUAGGAUAUUUUAAGAGCUGUGGUUUCAAAAAAAAAAUUAAAGCUUGAUUGCUCUGAAUUUGGUGCUGUGGAAAUAAAUAGGGCUGUGGACAGCACCUACAGCAACUACCAAUCACCCCCAUAUUCUCUUAGUUAGAUUUUUAUUUUUAUUUAAAUUUAAAUUAGACUUUUGUUUAAAGUAACUAGGUUUGUGAUCAUAUUUGCUAUAUUUUAAAUAAAACUAUAAAGAUUAUACUUCUAAAAAAUUGUAAAUAUUUGAUCACAUUGGUCUUUUUUUUAUAUAGUAUGAGUUAGAAUUAUUUUAUAUAUUUAUGAGAAUUUGAUAAAGAAAAUAUAAUAUUUUCAAUAUAUAGUUUAUUUAAAUGUUAAGAUUUACAUUUUUGACAGCUACCAACAUUUUAAUCAAAAAUUUAUAUCAUUGUAUUUAUAUUUCAAAUUUAUACUUUUUGUUCAUGAUUUAAAAAUUUUAUUUUAUAAAAUUUUGGUGAAGAAAAUUUAGAAAACGUUUAUGUAAUAAUUCAAAACUUUUGAGUGUUUACGUAAUUACUUGGUGACUUAAUAGUUUUCUAUAACCCUUCGAUUACACAACCAUAUAUUUUAUAAAUAAUUGCAAAACGUUCUGUUAUUCUUUUGACUAUCUGGCUUCAGGGUUGAAGUAUCUAAAGCACAUCACAACUUCUUCUUUUUUUUGUUUAUAACCCAGGAUAUCCGGCGGGCCAAGGUCUACCCGAAUAGUCUUCUGGGAGCUUGUCUACUGGAGCUAAACAAACCCGAUUGUUUUCAAUUAAAAUUAGAUAUUCAUGUCGACUAACCACACAAACAGAUAAAUAUGAGUUUCGUAGGUUUGUAG
rnacentral:lncRNA from 1 species